AUUGAACGCUGGCGGCAUGCCUUACACAUGCCAGUCGAACGGCAGCACGGGUGCUUGCACCUGGUGGCGAGUGGCGUACGGGUGAGUAAUACAUCGGAACAUGUCCUGUAGUGGGGGAUAGCCCGGCGAAAGCCGGAUUAAUACCGCAUACGAUCUACGGAUGAAAGCGGGGGACCUUCGGGCCUCGCGCUAUAGGGUUGGCCGAUUGCUGAUUAGCUAGUUGGUGGGGUAAAGGCCUACCAAGGCGACGAUCAGUAGCUGGUCUGAGAGGACGACCAGCCACACGGGGACUGAGACACGGCCCAGACUCCUACGGGAGGCAGCAGUGGGGAAUUUUGGGCAAUGGGCGAAAGCCUGAUCCAGCAAUGCCGCGUGUGUGAAGAAGGCCUUCGGGUUGUAAAGCACUUUUGUCCGGAAAGAAAUCCUUGGCCCUAAUACGGUCGGGGGAUGACGGUACCGGAAGAAUAAGCACCGGCUAACUACGUG
rnacentral:rRNA from 1 species